UUCCCCGUUUCCAGUUGUAAAGCUCAAGGAACGAUUGAGAGUAACGCGACUUUGAAAGAUACUGUAUGAGAUGACAGAAAAAAAUACGUUUUUAGUGGGAAAAGGUGAGUAUAUUGGGAGAAUCGGCCCAAAUAGUUAAAAGGGGUGGUAGCCGAAGGCCAGUUCUUGCACUAAUUGGCUGGGAAGCAAGGGAUACUUAAAUUUGGUGGCUUUCCAGAGCAUGUGCUUGUGCUGGGAAAUGGCCACGUGUGUGACUUGGUCGCUUGGUGGAAUGUGCAGCUCCCGGAUUUUGGGGAGCAGUGGAGCAGGGCCUGGGGCUGGGCACGUGUGUGUGAGGUGGAAAAAUCAGUGGGCUGUGGUGGGCAAGUGAAAAGCAAAGGGCUGGAUGGCCAGGCUGUGAAAGCUGCUGCUUUUGGAGCCCUCUGAAACUGGGAGGGGGGAGAGAGGGGUGUAAGGAAGAAGCCACGUGCUCUCCUGUGGAUCCGGACUUGCCAACCACCCUCCCAUCCAGAGGGAGUGCCAGCUGCCAGGGAAGCCACACUCUGACCUCGUGGGCCAAGGGCAUUCCAGGGAAGCUGAUCCUGGAGGGGGGGGUGGCUCACAGGAUGUGGGUGGGAGCAGCAGUUUGUGUGUGUGUGUAAACCCUGAAAUCAGCCCUGCCUGGUGCUGCUUCUAAAUCUGUACUUGGCUGCUGUAGAGAAUAUAAUAAACUUGAUUUGCUUUGGC